GAAAUGUGUCUGAAAGAUAAGAAUCUCCUUGAUAGGGAGAAUAAUAGGAGUUCAAACCUCCUCAUUUCU
rnacentral:tRNA from 1 species